ensembl:antisense Tbc1d22bos TBC1 domain family, member 22B, opposite strand
CAGACAGAACACUGCUAGAAAACCCUCUCAGGAUGACGGUUUGAAGGAGGACAAGGAAGAGAAUGUGGUUGGAGGACCAUAUAAACACUACCGGAGUUAGUCACCUGACAUUCUAUGCCAGACUUGGUGACAACGGACAAGACCAUGAGGACACGAACCUUCAGCAAGUGAAGAAGAGGUAGAGGGACCAUAUGGCUACAGCCAGGAAGCCAGAGCCUGACAGAGCAAGGCAGGCACAGAGAGCCAGUCUCGGGCUCUCCUGGACACCUUCCUACUAGCACAGGGACCCCUUCACACUGGACCUGUCAAUCACAGUGCUCUCUCUUAGCUCAGAGACACACAAGGUCUGGCUACGUGCAGUGUGGGGUAGGUAGCUCAGGCAUAUAGGAAUAACAAUAGCCUGGUUACAAGUAAAUGUAGAAACCUAUAUCUGGGCUGGAGAGAUGGCUCGGCAGUUGAGAGCACUGGCUGCUCCUGCAGAGCACUUGAGUUUGGUAUCUAGCACCAACAUGGACUGGCUCCCAACUGCCUGCAACCCCAGCCCCAGAACAAAUGCCAUUUUCUGGCCUCCAUAGGGACCUACAUGCACAUGGCAUGUAUACAGCACACAUGCACACACACACACCAAUCCUGAGGUACUGGAGAGAUGACUCAGUGGCUAAGGGUACAUGCUGCUCUUACAGAGCACAUCACACCAGCAGCUCACAACUGUCUGUAACUCCAGCUCUGGGGGAUCCACCCCUCCAGGAUCCACAGGUAACUAUACUCAUGUGCACACACAAACACUGAGAAACACACACACACAAUUACAAUAAAAUUAAAUCUUUAAAAAAAAA